rnacentral:rRNA from 1 species
AGCAGUCUGGGCAGACAAUGAUGAAUGUCAUAGGUAAGAAUUGCCUAUAAAUGAAAGUGUAAGCAUUCCACCUUAGGAGUAAUGCGGCAAUGCAUAAACUGAAAUCAUUAGACCGUUUCUGAAACCAGUAGUGAAGUAUGUUGUUCAAUUUGUUGACCCGCAAARAACCUUACCACAGUUUGUAUACUUAUUUAUAUUAAGUACAAGUGUUGC